GACGAACGCUGGCGGCGUGCUUAACACAUGCAAGUCGAACGGAAAGGCCCCUUUGGGGGUACUCGAGUGGCGAACGGGUGCGUAACACGUGAGUAACCUGCCCUUGACUUCGGGAUAACUUCAGGAAACUGGGGCUAAUACCGGAUAGGAAUCCUUGCUGCAUGGUGGGGGUUGGAAAGCUUCGGCGGCUUUGGAUGGACUCGCGGCUUAUCAGCUUGUUGGUGGGGUAGUGGCUUACCAAGGCUUUGACGGGUAGCCGGCCUGAGAGGGCGACCGGCCACAUUGGGACUGAGAUACGGCCCAGACGCCGACGGGAGGCAGCAGUGGGGAAUAUUGCACAAUGGGCGGAAGCCUGAUGCAGCAACGCCGCGUGCGGGAUGACGGCCUUCGGGCUGUAAACCGCUUUCAGCAGGGGCGAAGCUUGUGGUGACGGUACCUGCAGAAGAAGCACCGGCUAACUACGUG
rnacentral:rRNA from 1 species